GGAGAGGUGGCUGAGUGGUCGAAAGCGCGGGUUUGCUAAACCCGUGGCCCUUUACGGGGCCCGCAGGUUCGAAUCCUGUCCUCUCCG
rnacentral:tRNA from 1 species